rnacentral:rRNA from 1 species
CCCUUAGAUGUCCUGGGCCGCACGCGUGCUACACUGACGCAUACAGCGAGCACUUUCCAGUUCCGAGAGGCUACUGGUAAUCAUCAAUAUGCGUCGUGAUGGGGAUAGAUCUUUGGAAUUCUGGAUCUUGAACGAGGAAUGCCUAGUAAUCGCAGGUCAUUAGCCUGCGAUGAUUAAGUCCCUGCCCUUUGUACACACCGCCCGUCGCUACUACCGAUUUCGAGUGGUCAGGUGAAUCUUUCGGACUGUUGGCGCCCUUGAGGUGUUCGCGGAAAGUCAGGUAAAUCUUAUCACUUAGAGGAAGUAAAAGUCGUAACA